UUUGAGACUGUUUGUUUUUUCAUGUCCAGUUUGCUUCAAGAUUGCUUUUGGUUGUGUGACUUGUUGUAUGACGUUUCUGGACUGUUUCAGACGUAAGGAGAGUCUCUUUUGGUUUUAAUUAUUGUUAGAUUCAGCUUGUUAAGGUGAGUGCGUGACCAUGAGCUUAUCUGAGCGAUUGGAUUGUAUGAUUUGUUUUGUGUGAUGAUAUGUAGGUGUGGUGAAUGUGUUUUGGGUGAAUUUUUCAAUGAUUGGUUUGUUUAUGUUGUAUUUGUGAUUAUACCCCUUUUAUUUGCUUGUGUGUAUAGCUUGUAGAUGGGAGGAUCGCCUCACUAAGUAUUUGUGAUAAUACUUACGUAUCUCUUUCUUUUUGGUGUAGGUAAAGAUAAAGUGUGAUCGUGGAAUCAUGGCAAGGAAGAGAGUAUGAUCUAGGAACUUGUUUGAUUUAUUUUUGUGUUUUGGUUAUUGGAACCCGGUUAGGGUUGUGUUAUGAUUGUUAGUCAUACUUGGUUUUCUUUGUUGAAUUAUUUAUUUAUUCAUAAAAUAGUAUUUUUGACUUGCGGUUUUAAUGUUGCUUUAUUGGUUUAUUUAAUUAAGUAUUUAU
rnacentral:sRNA from 1 species